rnacentral:rRNA from 1 species
GACGAACGCUGGCGGCGUGCUUAACACAUGCCAGUCGAACGGACAGGCCCUGCUUGCGGGGUACUCGAGUGGCGAACGGGUGAGUAACUCGUGGGUGAUCUGCCCUCCACUUCGGGUUAAGCCUCUUCAACUGGGUCUAGUACCUGCCAGAUGACAUUUUUAGUGUGAUGGUUGGAAAGUUUUUUCGGUUUAGGCUGAGCUGGCGGGCUAUCGGCUCGUUGGUGGGGUAAUGGCCUACCGAGGCGGCGUCGGGUAGCCGGACUGCGUGGGUGGACGGCCACAUUGGGACUGAGGGACGGCACAGAUAGCUACGGGAGGCAGCAGUGGGGAAGAUUGAAGAAGGGGCGCAAGGCGGAUGCAGAAACGCCGCGUGGGGGAAGACGGCGUUAGGGUUGAAAACUACGUGCGCAAGGGACGAAGCUUUUUGUGACGGUACCUAGAGAAGAAGCACCGGCUAACUACGUG